rnacentral:rRNA from 1 species
UUCCGGUUGAUCCCGCCGGACCUGACUGCUAUCGGAUUGAUACUAAGCCAUGCGAGUCAUUGUAGUAAUACAAGGCAGACGGCUCAGUAACGCGUAGUCAACCUAACCUAUGGACGGGAAUAACCUCGGGAAACUGAGUAUAAUGCCCGAUAGAACAUUAUACCUGGAAUGGUUUAUGUUUCAAAUGAUUUAUCGCCGUAGGAUGGGACUGCGGCCUAUCAGUUUGUUGGUGAGGUAAUGGCCCACCAAGACUAUUACAGGUACGGGCUCUGAGAGGAGUAGCCCGGAGAUGGGUACUGAGACACGGACCCAGGCCCUAUGGGGCGCAGCAGGCGAGAAAACUUUGCAAUGUGCGAAAGCACGACAAGGUUAAUCCGAGUGGUUUCUGCUAAAGAAACCUUUUGUUAGUCCUAGAAACACUAACGAAUAAGGGGUGGGCAAGUUCUGGUGUCAGCCGCCGCGGUAAAACCAGCACCUCAAGUGGUCAGGAUGAUUAUUGGGCCUAAAGCAUCCGUAGCCGGCUCUGUAAGUUUUCGGUUAAAUCUGUACGCUCAACGUACAGGCUGCCGGAAAUACUGCAGGGCUAGGGAGUGGGAGAGGUAGACGGUACUCGGGAGGAAGGGGUAAAAUCCUUUGAUCUCUCGAUGGCCACCUGUGGCGAAGGCGGUCUACCAGAACACGUCCGACGGUGAGGGAUGAAAGCUGGGGGAGCAAACCGGAUUAGAUACCCGGGUAGUCCCAGCUGUAAACUAUGCAAACUCAGUGAUGCAUUGACUUGUGGUCAAUGCAGUGCUGCAGGGAAGCCGUUAAGUUGCCGCCUGGGAAGUACGUACGCAAG